rnacentral:lncRNA from 1 species
GUUAAAACACAAAUACACAGAGCUUCUCCUUCAGUUCAAAACCCUAGCGCCUACCACCACCAUCUUCACAUCAGCUCGAACCAUCUUCAGGUUUCACUACCAUGUGGAAACGAUGCCAAAGAGAUGCUAAACCAUUUUCCAACUGGAUCACCGUCGGCUACCUUUUCGGUCUCCACCCACAGAACAGAAGAUGUAGAAACCCUAGAAGGUCAGUCAAAAGAGAAAUGGAUGAGGAAUAGGUUGGUCUAGGGGAACAUGGGUUGGGGUCAGACGGAAAUAAACAACGGGUCAUAUUGGGUGGCUACUUUUGGUUGGUUGUUGCUACUGUUGACAAGAACGGAAAAACUCGGCAGCGUCGCUGCUACAGUGCGCUGGUACCUUCUCCUUUGAAGUGGAGAGGAUGGGUGUAAUGUGAAGGGAUAUUUUGCAUGGUCAUUGUUGGAUAACUGGGAAUGGGCUGUGGGUUAUAGUCCACGAUUCGGGUUGUAUUUUUUCGACUAUAAUGACAAGCUCAAAAGAUACGCUUAGGACUUGGCUAUGUGGUUCAAGAAUUUCUUGACCGCGGGUUAGAAGAUCAACACAUCGGAUCAUUUGCUGGUCGCGUCUUCAUAUCUAUGAAUACACGACUGGUUUGAACGGGCCCCGAAGGUUGUUGAUUGCUACCGGUGUUGGCAGAUGCAUGGGCGGAUCGACAACCGCGAAUGGCGGCGCUGUUCGUAGUUUCCGGUUCCAGUGGCAAUGGGGAGUUCCGGCGAUGGAAGCGAUGUUGAAAAGAUGUGAUUAAAAGAAAAACUAAAAAUCCUAACAAAAUCCCUAGAACACCAAAAGACACAUGAAGCAUCAGAGAUUAACUAAGAAAAAUUUUGAUACUUGCGGCUACGGAAUUCUGCUCAAAUUUUCAUUCAGGUUUGAUUAAUGUUCUAGCAUUGACGAAGGUAUGUAUAUGUUCUUCGUUCGACAUACUUAAUAAUGGUUUUCUUUUGCGUUUGCGUACAAUUUUUCACACUCUGAUUCACAUUACCUAUUAUUUUGCAGGUAGGACUUUCAUAUAUAUUGAUUUGUGGCCUCCCAAAAAGCUUGGCGUUAACGUGCCAGCUCGGAAAAAGAAUCCCGUUUCGACAAUUUCAACAAGAGCGCGGAAAAGAGCAGGCGGACCAAACGGCAUGGCAAAAAACUACGGAAGAAAAGCUGAAAAACAUCGGAAAUAACUAAAAACUCUCGUCUUGUUAAGUAUUGAAAUGUUAAAUAUCAGAUUAGUUUUGAAUGCUUUUAAUAAGGAUUUUUUAUGCGUGUUGGAAUUCUUUAGAAUUUUUGGAAUGUUUGUAAUGUCUCAGAAUGUUGCUUUAAUAUUUUUGGAAUGUUUUAGAAUUUUGCUGCAAUUUUUUUGGAAUAUAAUAGUAAUUUCGCUGUAUUUUU